CGGCGCACGGGUGCGUAACGCGUAUGCAAUCUACCUUUUACAGAGGGAUAGCCCAGAGAAAUUUGGAUUAAUACCUCAUAGUAUAUAGCCCUGGCAUCAGGAUUAUAUUAAAGUCACAACGGUAAAAGAUGAGCAUGCGUCCCAUUAGCUAGUUGGUAAGGUAACGGCUUACCAAGGCUACGAUGGGUAGGGGUCCUGAGAGGGAGAUCCCCCACACUGGUACUGAGACACGGACCAGACUCCUACGGGAGGCAGCAGUGAGGAAUAUUGGACAAUGGGCGCAAGCCUGAUCCAGCCAUGCCGCGUGCAGGAUGACGGUCCUAUGGAUUGUAAACUGCUUUUGUACGAGGAGAAACACUCCUUCGUGAAGGAGCUUGACGGUAUCGUAAGAAUAAGGAUCGGCUAACUCCGUGCCAGCAGCCGCGGUAAUACGGAGGAUCCAAGCGUUAUCCGGAAUCAUUGGGUUUAA
rnacentral:rRNA from 1 species